ACAUUAUGAGUGGAUGUCAGAGAGAUAAAAAGACACACCAAUGCACUCUUAUGUUAUGUUCUUCUGCUAACCAAUGCUGUCUCGUUUUAUUUUUUCUUCUCUCCACAUUUAAGUUUUCUCUCUUUCUCAAACACCCUUAUCUCCCCUCCACUCAAUUAUUACAUUCAUCAAAUUCAAAUGGCUGUGGCUGUGGCUGCUUGCAGCCUUGGACUUCACUUGAGUGUCGAUAACACCUCCAGAGCUUUCGAAAAAAUCACUGCCUUGAAGGCCUCUUCUAUCUAUGAUGCUACUAAACUAUGUUUCAUUACUCACAAAACAAGAUUAUCAUCUUCAGGAAUAACAAUCAUCCCACGAGCAACAGCAGUUACUGGUACUGUGGAGGAUGGAAAUCAAGGUGAGGCUGAUACCAUUCCAACGCCAGUAGUUAUAAUUGAUCAAGACUCUGAUCCAGAUGCAACUGUGGUGGAGAUAACCUUUGGUGAUCGGCUAGGGGCUCUUCUUGACACUAUGAACGCGUUAAAAAACUUAGGGCUCAAUGUUGUUAAGGCAAAUGUCUAUCUGGAUUCUUCUGGCAAACACAACAAGCUUUGCAUCACAAAAGCUGAUUCUGGUAGAAAAGUGGAAGAUCCAGAGUUGUUAGAGGCAAUACGUUUGACAAUUUUAAAUAAUAUGAUUCAGUACCACCCGGAAUCAAGCGCCCAAUUAGCUCUAGGAGCAGCUUUUGGACUCGUGACUCCAAAGGAGCAGGUUGAUGUGGAGAUAGCAACCCACAUAACCAUCACUGAUGACGGCCCAAAUCGAAGUUUGCUCUAUGUGGAGACAGCUGAUCGGCCUGGAUUACUGGUGGAUCUUGUAAAGAUUAUUACUGACAUUAACAUUUCUGUUGAAUCCGGAGAAUUUGACACAGAGGGUCUGUUGGCUAAGGCAAAGUUUCAUGUGAACUACAAGGAUAAAUCCCUCAUAAAGCCUCUCCAGCUGGUUCUUGUUAACAGCUUGCGAUAUUUCUUGAGGCGACCUUCGACUGAGGAAAGCAGUUUUUGAGUGGCAUGCAUGAUGCAUCCAUCGUAUUUGCCUCUCGAAUGUAUUCUUUUCCAUUUGGAGGACAAUAUUUGCGCCUUCCUAAGAGUGUGAAGAUUUGAGUUGAGUGGUGGUUUGGUGAUUCAAAGCUUUAAAAGCUAGGAACUGAGGCUUCUGAGGUGUUGUGCGGAGUUGCCAAGAGAGUGAGCUCAAAAUUCAUUAUCUUCCUUCUUCAUCUUGUUCGAUAUGAUUUUGAGGGUGAUGACGGUGCGGAUCUUUAGAGCUACCUUGGUGUAGCUAGAUGGUAGCAAUGUUGCUUAAUUGACAACUAGGAUUUUCUUUUUUACCUGAUUAUAGGAUUACUAUAUAUAUAUAUAUACACUUUUAUUUGUAUGUGUAUAUUUUAUGACAUGUAUAUCCAAGUAUUAUAAGUAUGUGAA